rnacentral:rRNA from 1 species
AAUGCCUAGGAAUCUGCCUGGUAGUGGGGGACAACGUUUCGAAAGGAACGCUAAUACCGCAUACGUCCUACGGGAGAAAGCAGGGGACCUUCGGGCCUUGCGCUAUCAGAUGAGCCUAGGUCGGAUUAGCUAGUUGGUGAGGUAAUGGCUCACCAAGGCGACGAUCCGUAACUGGUCUGAGAGGAUGAUCAGUCACACUGGAACUGAGACACGGUCCAGACUCCUACGGGAGGCAGCAGUGGGGAAUAUUGGACAAUGGGCGAAAGCCUGAUCCAGCCAUGCCGCGUGUGUGAAGAAGGUCUUCGGAUUGUAAAGCACUUUAAGUUGGGAGGAAGGGCAGUAAGCGAAUACCUUGCUGUUUUGACGUUACCAACAGAAUAAGCACCGGCUAACUCUGUGCCAGCAGCCGCGGUAAUACAGAGGGUGCAAGCGUUAAUCGGAAUUACUGGGCGUAAAGCGCGCGUAGGUGGUUCGUUAAGUUGGAUGUGAAAUCCCCGGGCUCAACCUGGGAACUGCAUCCAAAACUGGCGAGCUAGAGUAGGGCAGAGGGUGGUGGAAUUUCCUGUGUAGCGGUGAAAUGCGUAGAUAUAGGAAGG